rnacentral:rRNA from 1 species
UUGGAGGGCAAGUCUGGUGCCAGCAGCCGCGGUAAUCCCAGCUCCAAUAGCGUAUAUUAAAGUUGUUGCAGUUAAAAAGCUCGUAGUUGAAUUUCGGGACCAAUUUGUUGGUCGUGCCUCGGUACGUACUGGUAUUAUUGGUUUCUCCCUUCUGAAGAACCUUGAUGUCAUUAAUUUGGUGUCUUGGGGAAUCAGGACUGUUACUUUGAAAAAAUUAGAGUGUUUAAAGCAGGCAUACGCUUGAAUACAUUAGCAUGGAAUAAUGAAAUAGGACGUUCGAUCCUAUUUUGUUGGUUUCUAGGAUCGACGUAAUGAUUAAUAGGGAUAGUUGGGGGCAUUAGUAUUCAAUUGUCAGAGGUGAAAUUCUUGGAUUUAUUGAAGACUAACUACUGCGAAAGCAUUUGCCAAGGAUGUUUUCAUUAAUCAAGAACGAAAGUUAGGGGAUCGAAGACGAUCAGAUACCGUCGUAGUCUUAACCAUAAACUAUGCCGACUAGGGAUCGGAUGAUGUUAAUUUUUUAAUGACUCAUUCGGCGCCUUACGGGAAAC